rnacentral:rRNA from 1 species
UCCGUAGGUGAACCUGCGGAAGGAUCAUUACAGUGUUAGGCUUCGGCCUCAUUCCACACCCCUUGUUUAACCUCUGGUUUCUUUGGCGAUGUCAAUCGUCAAACUUUAACUCUGAUAAUGUGGUACUGUCCGAGUCCAAUUGAAUUAUCAAAACUUUCAACAACGGAUCUCUUGGUUCCAGCAUCGAUGAAGAACGCAGCGAAAUGCGAUAAAUAAUGUGAAUUGCAGAAUUCCGUGAAUCAUCGAGUCUUUGAACGCACAUUGCACUCCUUGGUAUUCCGAGGAGUACGCCUGUUCGAGCGUCAUUAAACUAUCAAGCUUGGCUUGGAUUUGAAUCACUGUCGAGGCAGGAUUUCAAUAUUGUCGGCAAUUGACCAUCUGUGAUGACUCACUUGGAGUUGAUUCGCCUCAAAUCGAUCAAUCAGUUGACCUCGGAUCAGGCGGGGAUACCCGCUGAACUUAAGCAUAUCAAUAAGCGGAGGAAGUCGAU